GACGAACGCUGGCGGCGUGCUUAACACAUGCAAGUCGAGCGGAAAGGCCCUGCUUGCAGGGUACUCGAGUGGCGAACGGGUGAGUAACACGUGGGUGAUCUGCCCUGCACUUCGGGAUAAGCCUGGUAAGCUGGGUCUAAUACCGGAUAGGAGCCAUUUUUAGUGUGAUGGUUGGAAAGUUUUUUCGGUGCAGGAUGAGCUCGCGGCCUAUCAGCUUGUUGGUGGGGUAAUGGCCUACCAAGGCGGCGACGGGUAGCCGGCCUGAGAGGGUGGACGGCCACAUUGGGACUGAGAUACGGCCCAGACUCCUACGGGAGGCAGCAGUGGGGAAUAUUGCACAAUGGGCGCAAGCCUGAUGCAGCGACGCCGCGUGGGGGAUGACGGCCUUCGGGUUGUAAACUCCUUUCGCUAGGGACGAAGCUUUUUGUGACGGUGCCUAGAGAAGAAGCACCGGCUAACUACGUG
rnacentral:rRNA from 1 species